UGCCCGGAGUAGAUGUAGGUUCCCACUGAAGUUUGGAUGCACGUCUUAUCAUUGGACCCAGACUUCGGGCCUCAAAGCCGUUUCCGACAGCAAGUGUGACGUGUGGUGCGGACUCUGCUCCCAACAGAUACCAGGACUUCAGGUGAGGUUGUAAUAUGACUGGGGCUGCUACCCCCUCUUGUCCACAAACAAUGGUGCAGCACCUAAUGGUAGGCGUGAGGGGCAUCAUGUUUUCAUCCCAGUCAUCUGUGUAUGGGUUGUCGUCAUUUUCUGUGACGUUCAGGGUACAGUGUACCUCUGCCAGUGGUGUCUUGUAUGGAUGUAGCGUGUAGAUUCUUGGUUUCAGCUGAUUAAAUUGGAACUGGAUGCGUGGGGUCCCUAUUCCUGUCUGGACACACUUAAGCCAAUAGAUUUCUUGUGUAGCCGACAGGACAGGGGCUGGUAAAAUUGGAAGCAUGAGGACUUUAACCGGUUUGGCCAUGGUGGAGGGAACGGGGCCCGUGGUGACUUCUACCCCAUUGUGUGUAAGAUAUAUGGAGCAUUGUAGUUUGCACAAGAGGUCCCUUCCCAACAGAUUGAUUGGACAGUUAGGGCAGUACAAGAACUGAUGAGUAUGCAUCAUACUUCCCCACGAGAAGGUUAAGGGAACUGUUUUCUUUUGAGCUUCGGGGUUACCAGUCACCCCCACCACCUGAAUGAAUUCCGAAGAUAGUUGUUGACGGGAUCGGAUUGCGGAGUAUGUACAGCCAGUGUCAACUAGAAAUUGAUGGGUUACUCCCUCAACUUCACACAGAACAGUGGGUUCAGUGUGGAGUGGAAAGAGCUCCCGUCCUCCCCCGUCAGGUGGUGGUGGGCAUCUUCAUGGCCAUGGUGCGUAUUCAUCAGCCAUACCCUGGAAGCUGGACGAUUGUUGACCGGGAUCCGGGUUGGCGUGAUUAUAUGCAGGAUGAGGCUGUGGUCCAGGGUAACGUUGUGGGCGGGGCCCACCUCUUCCCCUACCCAUGAACUGAGAGCUUCCUCUGUUAGCCAGCCAUUGUUGAGUAGAUUGGGUCAGUGCCUGCGGGCAGUUUCGAGCCAUAUGCCCAUGUUGUCUGCAAUUGUAGCAUUGCAUACCUCCCCCCCUCCAUUGACCCCCUCGCCACUGUGUUGGAUAGGCCGGCUGAGUCAUCCAUGGUGUUGGAUAACCCAGCUGUGGUGGUGGGUAGAUCCCUGGGGCUGCCAUAGGCAUGGGUUGGGGCAUGGGCUGCAUCACUUGAGGGACCCCCUCGGCGACGGGAGUCGGCUGAGUCUGCUGUUGCUGCAUCAUCUGUGUUACGGUUUUCUCGAUGACCUGAGACAAAUCUUCUGGUUUUUCCAUCAUCUGUUUUUUUUUAUCACCCUUCUGGGCUUCUUUCAAUUGCAAUUUCAGUAGUUGUACUUGAAGGGACUGGACUUGAGUGUCCGCGCCCCCCUUGUCUUUGUAGUAUUGGGUGAGGUGGUGGUGAGUGUGAGAGUUGAACUGUGGCAGGGGAAGUGCCAUCAGUCCCACAGUGUUCCUGAGUUUCACUUUCACUUCUCCAGGGCACCCAUUCACCACCAUCUCUUUCCACAUGCUGAGCGUGGUUUCAGUGUGGUCAUAUGGUUCCUCAUGCACAGUCCUCCAUGUUGUUUUUGCCCUGUCCAAGUAAGCCGCAGGUUGUUCCCCCGGAGUGAUGGUAAAAGAGGACAGGGUUGCAUGGUUCUUCUCAGUUGGAUAUGCCCGACGCAACACACCCCAUAGUGCCUGACGAAUCCCCUCCAUGAAGGCUAGGCAGUUGUUCCAUCAGGGUGGUGAGAUCUGUCAUUUUCCAUGGCUGGUACUCUUCGAAUCGGGGGUCUGUUGUGGGCCUGAGUGGUAGCUGCAUGGCGGAGCUAUAACCCCCGUUCUGAUCCCAGUCUGUCCUUGAAGUCACUCCCUGAGCCCUUAGGUUCUCCAGACGGACUGACUUUCUGACCGGGUCAACCAGGUCCGUUAUCUUUCCAGUCAUCACCCCCUCCACAUGGAAAGUUCCUCCUUCCUUUUCAGAUUUUUCAAUCAGGGAUUUCGCCAGGGCUAGUGACUCAUUCACCUCCCUUCGUAGGUUGUCGAUCUCCAUGUCUCUGGGGGUGUGACUCGUUCCUCCUUCUUCAUUCUCGCUUGGUAGAUUGUCGUGCGAGUUACGGGAUACCAAACUAGUCUUUGGGGAAGUGAACCCACAUCUCACAUAGUGUUGUGGGUUGAAGUCAGGAGUGAACGGUCUUGGGGUUGAGCUGUAUUUUCCUCCCGGCAUGGUCAUGAGGGAGGAGGUUCCUUCACUUCCCUCUCCUUCUUCUUCAACUUCCUCGCAGACCAAGUGUCCACCCUUUACACCCAUUGUGACGGACCCCAUUAAUUCUCCACCCUUUACGGCGAAUACCGGAGCCUGUACAGCAGGUGGCGGGGUGAAUGGUCCCGUUCUGAAAGGGUUCAACGACUUCCCCCCCACUGUGGGCCCUUGAGUGUAGGGUGGUGGUUCGGUUGGUAGUUCCGGAUAUAACCGGGUCGUCGGCAGGGGGGUCUCUCCAUCUUGUUUUGGUCCUGUGUUUGAGUCGGUCUCUGUAGAAGUCACAAUCCCCAUCAUGUCUGGUUUUUUAUAAGGGAGUGCCCUUCUAGUCUCCUCUAUCGCCCAGGUCCCUAUUCUCAACUCUGCCUCCGCCUUCUCUCUGUUCUUGGUUCCUUCUUUUUUAAACAUAUACGUUUUAUUUCUUUCCUUUUCAUUUUCUGUGCUUUUUUUAACUCCCUCCUUUAAACCUGCCUCCAUCUCCAUCAAUUGGCCUUUAGUCGGAGCCCCCCCGCUAAAGUAUCCUGCCUGUGUCCAUCUCAACUUUACUUCCUCCCACACUUUCCGUAUUGCCUUAUAUUGUUCCUUACCUCCUGCUCUAUCCUGUAUUUUUUUAUCCAAAAAUUCACAAAAUUUAAGUUUAAUUGGUUGGCUUAUUGCCAUUAUGUUUUACAAUUUAGUCCCUCUAGCUUUGUAAACUUAGCCCGUCGCUGGUUGGGACCAGCGAUGUAUUCUCGGUGCGGACACCGACUUAACUCUGGUGCCUCACCCUCGUAAACAAAGUGUUAAUAAUUGCCAAAUGGUUUGUCUAAUACACCCCAAUCCCGACAGCACGGCGGCCCCUCUACUUUAUUUCAGAAUUGUUUCAGUCCUAAUCGGUUAUCGACUUAGUUGUUUAUGUCUCAUGGAACAAACCCUUAUUUCGCACCCAUUUACCAGACAGAGAAUAAUUAUUGGACCCUUAAGAUAAAGUUCCAUCAGAUAUCACAAAUACAAUAUAACAAAUUGUGUCACCUAUACAAUCUACCGGGCAGAGAAUAGUUCGCUGACAUCCGGGACAUAGCUAAACAGUUAUAACAAUAUUAUUUUAUUUUUAAAUUCAUCCGACUUUUCAUUGGUGGUCCCGGCAGGUUGCCACUCCAGCCGUCCUCCAAUGUCACAAAUGAUUAUGCUAUCAAAAGUAUGUCACACAGACUCUUUAUCUACUUUUAAUUGAUCUGAAUAAUAUGGGUGGACUCAACUGGUUGCCACGUCAGUCGUCCCCCAAGUCAACAGAUAUAUUCUAUCAAUGAUGGGCCCACACAGGCCGGGUCCACACAGGACGGGUCCACAC
rnacentral:lncRNA from 1 species